UCUUAAGGUCAUGCCACCCUGAACGUGCCCGAUCUCAUCUGAUCUUAGAAGCUAAGCAGGGUCCGGCCUGGUUAGUACGUGGAUAGGAGACCACCUAGGAAUACCAGGUGCUAUAGGUA
rnacentral:rRNA from 1 species